rnacentral:rRNA from 1 species
GUAGGUGGCAAGCGUUGUCCGGAAUUAUUGGGCGUAAAGCGCGCGCAGGCGGUUCUUUAAGUCUGAUGUGAAAGCCCACGGCUCAACCGUGGAGGGUCAUUGGAAACUGGAGAACUUGAGUACAGAAGAGGAAAGCGGAAUUCCACGUGUAGCGGUGAAAUGCGUAGAGAUGUGGAGGAACACCAGUGGCGAAGGCGGCUUUCUGGUCUGUAACUGACUCUGAGGCGCGAAAGCGUGGGGAGCAAACAGGGAUUAGAUACCCUGGUAGUCCACGCCGUAAACGAUGAGUGCUAAGUGUUAGGGGGUUUCCCGCCCCUUAGUGCUGCAGCUAACGCAUUAAGCACUCCGCCUGGGGAGUACGGCCGCAAGGCUGA